GACAGAGGUCCCAAGCGUUAGGCGGAAUCACUGGGCUUAAAGCGUGUGUAGGCGGAUUUGUAAGUACCUUGUGAAAUCCCACGGCUCAACCGUGGAACUGCUUGGUAUACUGCUUAUCUUGGGCCAUCUAGGGGCGAGCGGAACAAACGGUGGAGCGGUGAAAUGCGUAGAUAUCGUGUGGAACGCCAAUGGUGAAAACAGCUCGCUGGGGAUGUGCCGACGCUGAGAUACGAAAGCCAGGGGAGCGAACGGG
rnacentral:rRNA from 1 species